rnacentral:ribozyme from 1 species
GUCAACUAAUACUCUGUUUCCGUCGUGCUCGUGCUCUAUCUCGGUCAGAGCCUCCGGCAAGCAGGUACUUUGUCUUCGUCGCAUUGAUCCUCAAUCCAAUCCUAUUGGCCUGAACGGUAACUUGUCGCCUAGAUAUCCAAGCUUUGGUACACGGGGAAACCCACCCCUUUGGGCGGAUAGGCGGCAAGGCUGAAUUGAGAGGG